UACGAAGGGGGCUAGCGUUGUUCGGAAUUACUGGGCGUAAAGGGCGCGUAGGCGGUCCUGAUCGUCGGAUGUGAAAGGCCUGGGCUCAACCUGGGAAUGGCAUCCGAUACGGCGGGACUGGAGUGUGGGAGAGGUUGGUGGAAUUCCCAGUGUAGAGGUGAAAUUCGUAGAUAUUGGGAAGAACACCGGUGGCGAAGGCGGCCAACUGGACCACAACUGACGCUGAGGCGCGAAAGCGUGGGGAGCAAACAGG
rnacentral:rRNA from 1 species